ACGGAGGGUGCAAGCGUUGUUCGGAAUUACUGGGCGUAAAGCGCGCGUAGGCGGCUAUCUAAGUCAGAUGUGAAAGUCCAUGGCUCAACCAUGGAAGUGCAUUUGAAACUGGGUAGCUUGAGUAUUGGAGGGGGUAGUGGAAUUCCCGGUGUAGAGGUGAAAUUCGUAGAUAUCGGGAGGAAUACCGGUGGCGAAGGCGACUACCUGGCCAAAUACUGACGCUGAGGUGCGAAAGCGUGGGGAGCAAACAGG
rnacentral:rRNA from 1 species